rnacentral:rRNA from 1 species
AGUGAACGCUGGCGGUAGACCUAACACAUGCAAGUCGAACGGCAGCACAGUAAGAGCUUGCUCUUACGGGUGGCGAGUGGCGGACGGGUGAGGAAUACAUCGGAAUCUACUUUUUCGUGGGGGAUAACGUAGGGAAACUUACGCUAAUACCGCAUACGACCUACGGGUGAAAGCAGGGGAUCUUCGGACCUUGCGCGAUUGAAUGAGCCGAUGUCGGAUUAGCUAGUUGGCGGGGUAAAGGCCCACCAAGGCGACGAUCCGUAGCUGGUCUGAGAGGAUGAUCAGCCACACUGGAACUGAGACACGGUCCAGACUCCUACGGGAGGCAGCAGUGGGGAAUAUUGGACAAUGGGCGCAAGCCUGAUCCAGCCACACCGCGUGGGUGAAGAAGGCCUUCGGGUUGUAAAGCCCUUUUGUUGGGAAAGAAAAGCAGCAGGUUAAUACCCCGCUGUUCUGACGGUACCCAAAGAAUAAGCACCGGCUAACCUCGUG